GUAAAAUGUUUUACAUUUAGAAAAAAAAUUAACCCCAUAUUUUGUAAUUAAUAAAACUUUAAUUGCAAUUGUGAAUCAGUCAAUGAAAGUGAAGAUGAUCUGGAGUCUCAAACCGCAGCAGAGGUAUGUUGAAUCUUUUUCUCGUAAAUUCAUAUGUAUAAUUCUUGUAAUUAUGUAUGUAGUUUCAAAAUUGAACGGAAUUUUUAAGAUCUAUUAUUUUUACUUUUCCAUUCUGCAGCAAGACAGAGCCAUUAAAGCCUCAAGACCUACACGCCCAAAUGUGCCUAAGGGGCCUGCUGCUCUGAUCCAUUAGUUAGUUAGUUAUAUAUAUAUAUAUAUAUAUUCUGUAUAUUUAUGUGUCUCUCCAUACAGACAGGAUGUUUUCAUGUUGUUUUAUCUCUAUAAUUCUUUGUAAUAUUGUCUUAAUUUAAUUGUGAAUUUAAAGAUGUAUUAAUUCUUUGUUGUGAUUGUUAUUAAUAUUAUGGAAAUUUAUUUCCACAAUAGAAAAUAAUAUUUUUACAUAAAAAGUAUCGUUAUAGAUUUUAUAACGAUUUUUUUUCUUCGCUAUACAUCUCA
rnacentral:lncRNA from 1 species